AAAAUCCCCAACAAAACCCAUAAACAAUAACCCCUAAACAAUAAGGGAGGGAAGGGAGGGUGGCUGCCGUCACCGACGGCACUGUGCUACACCCUCCCUCCCCAACCCACCUAUCCUGGAGGUGGCUCCGGUGCAGGACGUGGACCCUGCUCCACCCUCGGCGUCGCCCACUUUGGUGGAGCCGAUAGCUGCACCAGGCAGACGGACCCCUCGAGCCGGGCCGGAGGACAGGAGGGCCCUUCGGGCUGGGCCGGGGAACAGGAGGGCCCCUCGGGCUGGGCCGGGGGGCAGGAGGGCCCCUCGGGCUGGGCCGGGGAGCAGGAGGGCCCCUCGGGCUGGGCCGGGGAGCAGGAGGGCCCCUCGGGCUGGGCCGGGGAGCAUGCGGGCCCCUCGGGCUGGGCCGGAAGGCAUGCGGGCCACUCGGGCUGGGCCGGAAGGCAUGCGGGCCACUCGGGCUGGGCCGGAAGGCAUGCGGGCCACUCGGGCUGGGCCGGAGGGCAGGAGGACCACUCGGGCUGGACCGGAGGGCAGGAGGACCACUCGGGCUGAUCCUGACAGGCCGGGCACCCUGGCAGAUCAGGGCAGGCGGGCACCUCUGGCAGAACAGGGCAGGCCGGCCACUCUGGCAGAACAGGGCAGUCCGGCCACUCUGGCAGAACAGGGCAGUCCGGCCACUCUGGCAGAACAGGGCAGUCCGGCCACUCUGGCAGAACAGGGCAGUCCGGCCACUCUGGCAGAACAGGGCAGUCCGGCCACUC
rnacentral:lncRNA from 1 species